GCGGAAGAAUCUUAUGG
rnacentral:rRNA from 1 species